UUGACACUCCGGAAAGAAGAAUAAAAGAGACGGGAGACAUUCCACUAAAUGGUGGAUAUAAAACUGUGUGUCCUGUCAUUGUAAUCACAACAAUGAAUGAAAUUAGGCCUAAAAGACAAACCUUAACAGCGCAGUCUUUGAGGCCCGAUUUCAUCACUUUUGAGUCUUGGAAGUGCUACAGAUCUCAGAGAUGAGUUUAACACAAGAUACCAAUGAUGAGGGAGCACGCAAGACAGCCAAUGAGGAAGAUGCAGAUGGAGCUUGGUAAAAUCAAUUGUAUUCCGUGGGACAAUGUAAAUGUCUAAGGUUUUCUAAACACUCCUUGGCCUCUAUGGGUUUUUUUGCUGCUUUGGCUCUUUUCAACUUAUUUUUAGGCUGGCAACUCGGAAAGUUUUUCAUCUUCCCAAUGUUAUUAUGAUUUGAGUUCAUUGUGGAGUCUUUGUAUUCCGUCAAAAUGUGCAAUACAUUAAACCUGAGAUUUUCCAAUAUGUUUUACUUCAUAUACCUGGUCUAUUAUUUUUUACUACGUGUUGUUGCUUUGGGCGGAAAUUUACUAUCAGACACGUAUCAUGUCAACAAACGGUCUUAGACCUACAUCCAUGACAAUCAAUGUUGUAAUUUAUCUGUUUUGGAUAUACAUAAGUCUGUGGUCUAUUAAUUUCUAUGAUUUAUCUCUUCAUUGGGGUGAUGGAUCUCCCAAAAAAAUGGUGAAAAAUAAAAUGCACAUGGUUUUUCCAGGCUUGCUACUAUUUUUUGAAAAAAAUUCAGCUUCAUUUACUGUUUAGGGCAGUUCUAGGAUGUUAGUAACAAAGAACGUUUACUUAUUAUAUAAUAGGCCAUGUAUUUCCGUCCUGCGGGUUAAUUUAAAGCAACUUGCCAUUUAGCAUUUUUGGAGUGUUUCUUAGUAUCAAUUUCCAGAGCUGGAAUGUUUUACCUACUUCAUUUACAAACCAAAUUAUUGGAAAAUGAGCCAUAUUUGAAGUCAAGAUGGACUGGUUACAAAGGGGCUUAUAAUUCAGCAAUAGGGCAACCCAAUACUAAAUGGAAGGUCCUAGGUUUGGUUUCUAGUUGGUCCAUAAAAAAAUUGACAUGGUAUCAGAGCAAAGGUCAGAGAGGCCAGGCCAAGCUAGGAUGUAAGAGCAUCUGCAGUGUGGCUCAACAGGGGUUGUUAAAAAGUGAGCCACACCCAAACUAAAUAUUGACUGGUCACAAAGCAGACCGGUUGCUAAAUGGUAGAGCACCCCAGCAGCAAAUGGAAGGAUUUAAGUUCAAAGCCUUACUGAUCUAUAAAAGAUUCAACACAAAUGUAUUGGUAUUUGAUACAAAUGAUAGUGCACAUCAUUUUGGCCUCAUCCCGUUGAAAGGAAACUAGAUCAUAUAUCUUGAUAUUUCCGAGUUGUAUAAUCAGCAAAAGCGCUCCAUCAAUAUUUGGGUCCAAGUUUCAUGGUUAUCAAGUGGGCAUUACUUUUGUUUGGAAUUUUUUAUCAUAUAUUGAUAACUAUUCACUACUCUCGAAUGACAGCGAUUUAUGUUGUUUUGUGCCAAGCUAUGGAUAUUAUUCAUAUGACAAAUUAUUAUUGUUCUAAUUUCA